UGGAUCCAGACUUUUAUCCUGGCUCAGGAUGAACGCUAGCGACAGGCUUAACACAUGCAAGUCGAGGGGCAGCGGGGAGCGAAGCUUGCUUUGCUCCGCCGGCGACCGGCGCACGGGUGAGUAACACGUAUGCAACCUGCCCCUGUCUGUGGGAUAAUCGGAAGAAAUUCCGUCUAAUACCGCAUAACGCCCUAAGAGGACAUCCUCUUAGGGCCAAAGGAGCGAUCCGGACAGGGAUGGGCAUGCGGCGCAUUAGGCAGUUGGCGGUGUAACGGACCACCAAACCGACGAUGCGUAGGGGUUCUGAGAGGAAGGUCCCCCACACUGGUACUGAGACACGGACCAGACUCCUACGGGAGGCAGCAGUGAGGAAUAUUGGUCAAUGGGCGGGAGCCUGAACCAGCCAAGUCGCGUGAGGGAAGACGGCCCUAUGGGUUGUAAACCUCUUUUGCCGGGGAGCAAGAGGCGCCACGUGUGGCGCCGUGAGAGUACCCGGAGAAAAAGCAUCGGCUAACUCCGUGCCAGCAGCCGCGGUAAUACGGAGGAUGCGAGCGUUAUCCGGAUUUAUUGGGUUUAAAGGGUGCGUAGGCGGGCUGUUAAGUCUGCGGUAAAAUUGCGGGGCUCAACCCCGUCGAGCCGUUGAAACUGGCGGCCUUGAGUAGGCGAGAAGUGUGCGGAAUGCGUGGUGUAGCGGUGUAAUGCAUAGAUAUCACGCAGAACUCCGAUUGCGAAGGCAGCACGCCGGCGCCUUACUGACGCUGAAGCACGAAAGCGUGGGUAUCGAACAGGAUUAGAUACCCUGGUAGUCCACGCAGUAAACGAUGAGCGCUAAAAGUCCGGGGGGAAUGACCCCUAGGUGAUACAGUGAAAACGUUAAGCGCUCCACCUGGGGAGUACGCCGGC
rnacentral:rRNA from 1 species